rnacentral:RNase_P_RNA from 2 species
GACAGACUCAAGGCCGCGAGGCUCGACACACACAGAAAUCUACUUUCGUUUUUCUCGAGCGGGCCAAGGUCUGAGCCGUUCCUUCACACCCCAGCUGGGUCCCGUUGUCACCGAUGGCCAGGCCACCAGAAAACAGACAACGGCCUGGUGUCAGUGUGCGGCAGUAGCGGUGCACGCUGCUGACACAGUGGGGCACUUGUUGCUGCCGCACCAUCCAGGAAGAUUGGUCUUCCAUGCAGUUGUCUUGGAAGUGCCUGGGAAGAUAGGUGUCUGUCUUAUUCGUAGGUGGUGUGCCUAUGUUCACCGGUGUCAGGGUGGUCGAGAGCUUAGCGCCUCAGCGCUUCCUCGGCUACUUGUCCCGGGCGUAGGAGGUCGCUGUCUUUGCCACCUUGAUUUGCAGAUAUCAUUGAGUGCAAUUCGCGGCGCUCGGUCCCAGUGACCGCGCAACUCAAUUCAGACUACUCUUUGUCUGUC